GGUGGCUUAGUGGUUAUUGCAUCUGCCUUUGAUGUGGAAGGUUGCAGGUUCAAACCUUGGUUGAGUCAUGCCAAAAACU